CGUAACACGUGAGGAACAUGACCUUCGGCGGGGGAUAGCCGGCCCAACGGCCGGGUAAUACCGCGUACGACCAUUUGGGGACAUCCCUAGGUGGUGAAAGCAGCAAUGCGCCGAUGGAGUGCCUCGCGGCCUAUCAGCUAGUUGGUGGGGUAACGGCUCACCAAGGCAACGACGGGUAGCUGGUCUGAGAGGAUGGCCAGCCACAUUGGGACUGAGACACGGCCCAA
rnacentral:rRNA from 1 species